rnacentral:lncRNA from 1 species
CGGCCUCAGCGAAAACAAGCAACUAUACAAUAUCAACCACCAAAAACCAAUCCACAAUUCUGUUUUAAUCCUCAAAUCUCAAGCCAUCAUCACUGGUAUAGUGUGUGUGUGUGUACAACAUCCAUGAUAACCGAUAUUAACUCAAAUUUCAAUAUAUAAUAAAUCUCUUAGAAGGAAUCAUGCAGCGUAAACUUAAAAAUAUCAAAAAUAGAUAGUUCUAACUAAAAUUAAAUAAUCACUAAUCUCGGGGAUUCAAGCAAGGUACUUAUACUUUAUUCAUAUUCUUUUCUCUUUUUUUAUAUACGGGGGCUUUUUGCUCUUAUUUCCCGUUUUAUUAUAUUUUUUUUUAUACUCAUAGCUAUGCAAUGUCUUAUUCCCUUAGGCUUUUCAAUGCUACCUUAACGAUCUUUCGACCAAUGACUCCCAGACCAUUCAGACCUUAGGGCGCUAGGUGUAAAAACAAUCCCCUCGGGCUUACUUACUCAAGUAACAAAGGCCACAAAACUAGACAAGCAUGCCACGGUGUUUAUUCAUACUUUUUUUUAUAUAUAAAUAAAGCUUAUAUACCCCACAACACAAAUGUUUGUUAAUCGUGCUAUCCUUUUAUACCAGUUUCAAACAAGCUCAAGAUUCGAUUCAUAACAGAAAUUGUAUCAUAGUUCUAAUACUCAAUACUGUAUUUGUUAACCUAUUGUCAAUCAC